GAAGCGGCAACAGCUCAAAUUUGAAAUCUGGCUCUUUUAGAGUCCGAGUUGUAAUUUGCAGAGGGCGCUUUGGCUUUGGCAGCGGUCCAAGUUCCUUGGAACAGGACGUCACAGAGGGUGAGAAUCCCGUACGUGGUCGCUGGCUAUUGCCGUGUAAAGCCCCUUCGACGAGUCGAGUUGUUUGGGAAUGCAGCUCUAAAUGGGAGGUACAUUUCUUCUAAAGCUAAAUAUUGGCCAGAGACCGAUAGCGCACAAGUAGAGUGAUCGAAAGAUGAAAAGCACUUUGGAAAGAGAGUCAAACAGCACGUGAAAUUGUUGAAAGGGAAGCGCUUGCAGCCAGACUUGCUUGCAGUUGCUCAUCCGGGCUUUUGCCCGGUGCACUCUUCUGCAGGCAGGCCAGCAUCAGUUUGGGCGGUAGGAUAAAGGUCUCUGUCACGUACCUCUCUUCGGGGAGGCCUUAUAGGGGAGACGACAUACUACCAGCCUGGACUGAGGUCCGCGCAUCUGCUAGGAUGCUGGCGUAAUGGCUGUAAGCGGCCCGUCUUGAAACACGGACCAAGGAGUCUAACAUCUAUGCGAGUGUUUGGGUGUCAAGCCCGAGCGCGUAAUGAAAGUGAACGGAGGUGGGAACCCGCAAGGGUGCACCAUCGACCGAUCCUGAUGUCUUCGGAAGGAUUUGAGUAAGAGCAUGGCUGUUGGGACCCGAAAGAUGGUGAACUAUGCUUGAAUAGGGUGAAGCCAGAGGAAACUCUGGUGGAGGCUCGCAGCGGUUCUGACGUGCAAAUCGAUCGUCAAAUUUGGGCAUAGGGGCGAAAGACUAAUCGAACUAUCUAGUAGCUGGGUUCCUGCCGAAGUUUCCCUCAGGAUAGCAGUAACGUAUUCAGUUUUAUGAGGUAAAGCGAAUGAUUAGAGGCCUGGGGGUUGAAACAACCUUCACCUAUUCUCAAACUUUAAAUAUGUAAGAAGUCCUUGUUAC
rnacentral:rRNA from 1 species